rnacentral:rRNA from 1 species
AUGAGCACCGCGGCAACCACCUUCGGCUCCCCCAACCUCGCACCAGCGUCCCACUCCUUCCCCUCCUGCCGCCUCCUCUCUCAUGGCUUCACCGUCGCUGCAAACCGUCGGGUCUCCCACGCGUCCGCCCGGGCCUCCCCUGCGGCGCCGCGCCGGCGGCCCGAGUACGUCCCCAGCCGCAUCGACGACCCCAACUACAUCCGCAUCUUCGACACCACGCUCCGCGACGGCGAGCAGUCCCCGGGGGCCACCAUGACCAGCGCCGAGAAGCUCGUCGUCGCGCGCCAGCUCGCGCUCCUCGGCGUCGACGUCAUCGACGCGGGCUUCCCGGCCUCCUCACCGGACGACUUCCGCGCCGUGCGCUCCAUCGCCAUCGAGGUUGGGAACACGCCCGUCGGCGGCCACAUCCCCGUGAUCGGCGGCCUCGCCCGGUGCAACAAGAGGGACAUCGAUGCUGCGUGGGAUGCCGUGAAGCACGCCCGGCGCCCCCGCAUCAACACCUUCAUCGCCACGAGCGAGAUCCACAUGCAGCACAAGCUGCGGAAGACGCCCGAGCAGGUGGUGGCCAUCGCCAGGGAGAUGGUGGCCUACGCGGGCGCUCUUGGAUGCCCCGAUGUAGAGUUCUGCCCCGAAGACUCCGGCAGGUCAAAUAAAGAGUUCCUUUAUCAUAUUCUAGAGGAAGUCAUACAAGCUGGAGCAACAACCAUCACCAUUGCGGAUACUGUUGGGUCUAAUCUUCCUGUUGAAUACGGCAAAUUAAUUGCUGACAUAAAAGCUAAUACUCCUGGGAUUGAUAAUGCCAUUAUUUCUACUCAUUGCCAUAAUGACCUUGGCCUUGCAACUGCCAACACAUUGGCGGGUGCAUAUGCGGGAGCACGGCAGUUAGAGGUUACUAUUAAUGGUAUCGGUGAAAGAGCUGGAAAUGCUGCGUUGGAGGAGGUUGUCAUGGCACUUAAAUGUCGCCCGGAACUCUUAGAUGGCAUGUAUACUGGAAUUAAUACCCACCAUAUUACUAUGACAAGCAAAAUGGUACAAGAGUACAGUGGACUUCACGUACAACCUCAUAAAGCUAUUGUUGGUGCCAAUGCCUUUGCUCAUGAAAGUGGAAUUCAUCAGGAUGGGAUGCUUAAAUACAAAGGAACUUAUGAAAUAAUAUCACCUGAUGAUAUUGGUUUAACACGUGCCAACGACUCCGGUAUUGUUCUUGGGAAGCUGAGUGGAAGGCAUGCUGUUAGAUCUGUACUAGUGGAGCUUGGAUAUGAGAUCAGUGACAACGAAUUUGAGGAUUUUUUUAAACGCUACAAAGAGGUUGCGGAGAAGAAAAAGCGUAUAAAUGACAAAGACAUCAAAGCAUUACUAUAUGAUGAGAUAUUUAAGCCCAAGCUCAAUCCGAGUGUUGGAUCAAACAAUAUGCCAGGAGGUGCGUCUGGCCAUGUUCUUGGAAGUCUGGAGACGGCUCAUGGCACUUCGACCUCUCAACAACAGUAA